AUAAUAGUUAAGUAAAGAAACAAAAGAAAUAAAAGAAACAAACAAACAAACAGAAUAAGGAACGAAACAGAGAAGGAAGGAAGAAAGAAAAUAAAAAGGAAAAAAUUGAGGGUUUGAAGCUUGAAGUUUAAAUAGGUUAAGUUAAAGUCAGAUCGUUGAAUUAACAUCCCAGGCCAAUCCCAAACUCAAUAAGGAUUGGUAAAUUUUAAAAUACAAAGUUCAUUUUGAGUUCACAUGGUUUGUCACACGGGCGUGUGACCAGGCCGUGUGAGACACACGGCUUGCACAUGGGCAUGUUGUUAGGCCGUGUGUCCCUUGCACUUAAAUUGUUACAACCAAGUUAGUACACGAGUGUGUGUCUUGGUUGCCACGGCUGUGUCUUAAAGUCAAUUUAGUACAUGGGCAGGUCACACGGACGUGUGCCAUGGCCGUGUUUAAAAGUCAGUGUUACACACGGGUUGAGGACACGGACGUGUCCCAAGCCGCACGGGCAUGUUAAACUAGCCACACGGGUGUGUGGUAUUGUUCAAAAGAAAAAUUUUUUAAAUUUCACGAAAAAUUUCCUAAG